CGAACGAUGAAGCUCUAGCUUGCUAGAGUGGAUUAGUGGCGCACGGGUGAGUAAUGUAUAGCUAAUGUGCCCCUUAGAGGGGGAUAACAGUUGGAAACGACUGCUAAUACCCCAUACUCCUUCUUCCUAUAAGGGAAGUUGGGAAAGUUUUUUCGCUAAGGGAUCGGGCUAUAUGGUAUCAGCUUGUUGGUGAGGUAAUGGCUCACCAAGGCUAUGACGCCUAUCUGGUCUGAGAGGAUGAUCAGACACACUGGAACUGAGACACGGUCCAGACUCCUACGGGAGGCAGCAGUGGGGAAUAUUACACAAUGGAGGAAACUCUGAUGUAGCAACGCCGCGUGGAGGAUGACACAUUUCGGUGCGUAAACUCCUUUUAUAUGGGAAGAUAAUGACGG
rnacentral:rRNA from 1 species